AUACAGAGGGUGCGAGCGUCAAUCGGAAUUACUGGGCGUAAAGCGCGCGUAGGCGGCUACUUAAGUCAGAUGUGAAAUCCCCGGGCUCAACCUGGGAACUGCAUCUGAUACUGGGUAGCUAGAGUUUUGGAGAGGGAAGUAGAAUUUCAGGUGUAGCGGUGAAAUGCAUAGAGAUCUGAAGGAAUACCAGUGGCGAAGGCGACUUCCUGGCCAAAAACUGACGCUGAGGUGCGAAAGCGUGGGUAGCAAACGGGAUUAGAAACCCUGUAGUCC
rnacentral:rRNA from 1 species